CAACUUUCAGCAAUGGAUCUCUGCGUUCUCGCAUCGAUGAAGAACGGCAGCGAAUCGCGAUAAGUAAUGUGAAUUGCAGAUUUUCAGUGAAUCAUCGAAUCUUUGAACGCACCUUGCGCCCCUUGGUAUUCCGAGGGGCAUGCCUGUUUGAGUGUCAUU
rnacentral:rRNA from 1 species